UACGUAGGGUCCGAGCGUUGUCCGGAAUUACUGGGCGUAAAGGGUGCGUAGGCGGUUGUUUAAGUCUGUCGUGAAAUCCCCGGGCUCAACCUGGGAAUGGCGAUGGAUACUGGACAGCUAGAGUGUGUCAGAGGAUGGUGGAAUUCCCGGUGUAGCGGUGAAAUGCGUAGAGAUCGGGAGGAACAUCAGUGGCGAAGGCGGCCAUCUGGGACAACACUGACGCUGAAGCACGAAAGCGUGGGGAGCAAACAGG
rnacentral:rRNA from 1 species